CAAUCCUGAACUUCAAAAACUAUAUGAGGGCAGAGGAAGGUGGUAGAAUAGAAGCCUAUGCCGUUCAACCCCCUCACUGGAAUACCGAAUUUUAACAACUAUCUUCACACAGAAAAGCACCAUCACAAGAACUGAAAAUCAGGUGUUGGACAAUGAUUUGAGGUCUUAGCCUGAACUUUUGAAUGAGAGGUGCCCCAUCAACUGGACUUCUCCUGAGUGUUGAAAAGAGACAAGGUCUUACUGUGUUGCCCAGGCUGAUCUCAAAC
rnacentral:lncRNA from 1 species